rnacentral:lncRNA from 1 species
GCCACACACGCCGCCGGCCGCCAUGUUCGAGGCCGCCGGCUGCGGGGCACUGCGGGGACACCGAGGGCGGCGUGGCCCAGCCCAGGCGCCGGACCCUCCCGCGCCCCUAAGUCCGGUACUCACGUGAGAUAACGGCCCAAAGAGUCGGGUAAAGCGUCUUCUCUUUUUCGGCGGAAUUUUUAAAGAGGGAUGUGGUUACCUUGAGCAGAAAUACCCAAGGCGGCCUGGGCCAUAGGCUGCGGGGACGACGUGGGGGAAACGCGCGGCACCGACACCAGCUGAGCAGCAGUGGCGGCGGCAGCCGAACUGGAGAAAUGGAGCGGCGCGAGAAAAAGAAGAAAGGCGCGAACUGGGUGGGGAGAGGAUUCAGCCUCGUCACUCCGCAGAGCAGCAGAGCGAGAAGGAUGAGAAGAGCAGAGCAGGAGACAACCAGAGAGAAAAACGGAAACACCGCGGCGAGAGUUGAGCCAGAGAGUGUGGGAAGGCGGUGCCAGAGACGCCAGUAUUUAUACUCAGGGGGGCGGGGGCUGCUGACGUCACAGACGGCCGGUCGGCCGCACGACGGGGGUGGGGCCUGUGCCGCCGGGGAAUGUGGGAGGGGCGGAAGGGGAAGGACAGCCUUGUGCAGUUAGGGGGCCGAAGGGCGGGACCACCGGGCCUGGCAGGUGCUGGCCCGGCGCUCGCUUCCCGCCCUCGCGCUGCAGCCGCUCCCCAGCGGGCUGCUAGUUUCGUAGGCGGGGCAGAGGGCGCGCGGCCCAGCGGAUCGCGGAUCGCGCCCUCGCCCUUGCGGCGCCUGCGCGCCACGCUAGCAGCCAACGAUCCGCUUUGUGAGCCGGCAGCUAGUCCAUGCUGACGGCAGCCUUCGGGACCGUCCUGGGUCCUCGGCUUACCGACUCCAGUAUUUUAGGAGAGGAGGGUGUGCGCCAUCACGGGGCUUUCUCGGUGCACUAGUUUAUGUAACAACUGUAUACUAUGCCCGGGGACUGUAUUCCGAGGGAGAGGUUCCCGCCUCUCCAUGGGUUGCGGAGCUCCGUUAUGAAAAUGAGUUCCCCGUGGCCAGCAAGAACCAGUCCGGUGUGGUUACUGAGGCUUUGAUCGUACCAGAAUGUUCCUCCGUGUUCGCAUGUUGCAAUAUGGUGCAGUAGAUUUUUUUUUUAAAUGUGGCUUUUCUUUCUUUGUCUUCAUUUUCAAAAAGGGUUGAUGCAGUCAGACCCAGCCCUAUUAAAGCGGGGCCAGUGUUGCUGAAGUUACAUGACUUAAAGGCAC